ACUUGCUUCAGCAGGAUAUUUACUGCAAUUGGAACAAUACAGAGAAAACUAGCAUGGCCUAUGGUUAUGCACAAGGAUGACAUGCAAAUUUGUGAAGCAUUCUAUAUUUUU
rnacentral:snRNA from 1 species